AACCUUAUGGACCUGCGGGCGUAUACCUGCGGAGGGAUCAUUAAUAAAUGUUACUUCGGUAACUUAAUUAAUCCCUAACACCUGUGCAUCUUGUCGCUCCGGCGUCAUUUUAUAAACAUCAGUGUAAUGAAUGUAACGUAUUAUAACAAAUACAACUUUCAACAACGGAUCU
rnacentral:misc_RNA from 1 species